UGGGGAAUAUUGGGCAAUGGAGGAAACUCUGACCCAGCAACGCCGCGUGAAUGAUGAAGGUCUUCGGAUUGUAAAGUUCUUUGAUAGGGGAAGAAAAAAAUGACGGUACCCUAAGAACAAGCCCCGGCUAACUAUGUGCCAGCAGCCGCGGUAAUACAUAGGGGGCAAGCGUUAUCCGGAAUGACUGGGCGUAAAGGGUGCGUAGGUGGUCGCAUAAGUUGCAAGUGAAAUACCCGGGCUUAACUUGGGUGCUACUUGUAAGACUGUGUGACUGGAGUGCAGGAGAGGUAAGUGGAAUUCCUAGUGUAGCGGUGGAAUGCGUAGAUAUUAGGAGGAACAUCAGAGGCGAAGGCGACUUACUGGACUGUUACUGACGCUGAGGCACGAAGGUGUGGGGAGCAAACA
rnacentral:rRNA from 1 species